GACGAACGCUGGCGGCGUGCUUAACACAUGCAAGUCGAACGGAAAGGCCCCUUUGGGGGUACUCGAGUGGCGAACGGGUGAGUAACACGUGAGUAACCUGCCCUUGACUUCGGGAUAACUUCAGGAAACUGGGGCUAAUACCGGAUAGGAAUCCUUGCUGCAUGGUGGGGGUUGGAAAGCUUCGGCGGUUUUGGAUGGACUCGCGGCUUAUCAGCUUGUUGGUGGGGUAGUGGCUUACCAAGGCUUUGACGGGUAGCCGGCCUGAGAGGGCGACCGGCCACAUAGGGACUGAGAUACGGCCCAGACUCCUACGGGAGGCAGAAGUGGGGAAGAUUGAACAAUGGGCGGAAGCCUGAUGCAGCAACGCCGCGUGCGGGAUGACGGCCUUCGGGUUGUAAACCGAAUUCAGCAGGGGCGAAGCUUGUGGUGACGGUACCUGCAGAAGAAGCACCGGCUAACUACGUG
rnacentral:rRNA from 1 species